GUGCUCCAGCUGCUCGGACAAGCCAAGCUCCAUCAAGUAUUCCUAAUAAAGCAAUUAAAAGAGCCAAAUUCAUGGCAAAAGGCAGGAAAGGGAGGUUUAUUCAAUGUGACCACUUAGAAAAGGACAAAAGAAUUCAGUCGCAUUCCUCCCCUCAGCUCCAUCUGCAGAAUUCUGGCAUGAGGUUUAGAUUCUAUAAGUAGAGGGCCAGAGUAACACAUAGCUAACACGUAUGGUCAGUGUGUGGCCCUGCCUAUCACUCUCCCAUCAUUGUUUAGGUUCUAAUCUCUUCUGCAAGGUAGUCUGACAGGUAAUAAAUCUCUUUCUUGCUCCAGACUUGGCCUUUUCCUUCUCCAACAAAUGAAAUUCCAAGGAAAUUAUGAUUUCUUUGGAUUCACUGUCCAAAACAAGAGACACAGUGUCAUUUAGAACCCUCAUUUUCAUAGUUCCUGAACACUCUGUUCUAAUGAUCUGUCUUUAAGCUAUGGCAGCCAGCAACUUCUAGGUCAUAAUUUAGCUCUCUGGUAUUAUAAAAACCGUAACCAACUAUAACUCCAACUAUUUACCAUUAGUUGUCUCUAGAACCUGAAAUCUAACAGGCUUUGGUGGUGGUGAUGGCAGAGCCUAUAAGCCAAUGGCUUUCUGAUCCUUUCACUGUCUUUCAUGUUCCCUUUCCCAAGGGAGCUGUUGUUGGUCUGUUGCUAUGCAUUGUAAUUCUAAAUUCUGGCCCCAAGAUCUGGUUGCUCCUAACAAGGAAUCUUCAGGGUCAAGGAUAUCCUCACCUACAACAAAUGAUGCUAUUUAACCUUGCUCCUUAUAAAACUAUUGACUCACUAAAGAUGCCUACAGCCUAUAGCCAGGCAGAAGAGAGGUUUUAAAUCACCAACUACAAACCAGCACUGAUGCACGGGUGAGCAAACUCCUUUUGCUGAGAAACAGGAAGAUUAAAGAGCAAAAUGCAGCUGAGGUACGGAUAAAGAUAUCUACAGCUUCAUUUCAAAAUAUGAAUUAGAGGCCAAAAAUGUCAGAGUUUGAAAUCCAAAAAAAAUUUUUUAAAAUGUUUGAUAUGAAAAAUUCUCCUGUUGCUAAAGAAUGUAUGCCUCUUCCCUUUAUCUAUGAAACAAGAGUCUUUUCCUAGUGCUUUCUUUCAACUCGGACUGCCAGCAUGACGGUGAUACGUUAUUUCUUUGGCAUACAACUUAGUGACUCGG